CUCCUUUUAGUAAAUAGUUUACAAAAGAAGCCUACAGUGGUGCUUGCCUGAGUGUUUCUGGUGGUAAAAGAAAUUCACUCUUCAACUUCAAUCACACCCCUUUUUCUUCCACUCUUCUUCCCUCAAAUUUCAGUUCCUUCUCCUCUUUCUCACCCAAUGGUGUUUUCUCCAGAACUAAUGUAAAUGUAAACAUCCAUAAACCCUUUUGAUCAUUAGCUUAGCAUCAAACUGAAAUGGUGGGGAUGAUUGAUUAUGUAUAUAGGUUGCUUGUCAACGACACGUGCUCCUGUUGUUUGUGUAUGGCCCAAAGAAAGGCUUCAAGAAGCAGCAGUAAGGAAAAGAAUAAGAUCAUCAGGGUUGUCUCAACGGCUGGGACUGGAUUCUUUUAUGCCAUGAGGAAAAGCAGGAAGAUGGACAAGCUUGAGCUGAAGAAAUAUGAUCCAAAGGUAAAGCGCCAUGUUGUGUUCAGAGAAUCCAAAUAAAUUAAGUAUUCUUUGAUGAAUCAGGUUUAGACUAUCAGCUGCUCCAGUUGUAAUAUCAUCGCUGAUUCAUUGAUUUUAUUUCUAAACAAGAAUAUAUAAAUAUUGAUAGUCAAUUUAAUCUCGUUAUGUUAUUCACUUCAA